rnacentral:lncRNA from 1 species
AUUCUGGUCGAAAAGCAUGACCAGGACUUGCCUGAUCUCAUGAGUUCAGACAAAAAAAAAACAAAACAAAAACAAAAAUCAAAAAACAAAAAUCAAAAAAAAAAUCAAAGUCAAAAAUAGGAAAAAAGAAAGAAAGAAAAAAAAGGAGAGGUUAAGGCGAAAACCCGCAAAGGGCACUUUGACCAAAUGUGGAUCUGAGUUGAAAACCCGAAAAAGGGCGAC